AAAUUAUUUUUUGUGUGUCUCGGUGACGUCUCACAGUGCUCCCUGCUUUGAAAACAAAUUGCUCUUUGACGUUAUCGUUUCCAAUCAGUUAUAUGGUAGCUGCAAAUAACACAGCACUGGAUAAGAAAACUUUGUAGAUGACAAUGUAAACUUGUCACUGUAUAAACAAACUUAUAUAGAAAAAUACCUGGGAUUCCGAUUUGGAUUGUAGAAAUCAGCAAGCAAGCAUGGGUAGCAAGAAUGGAUGGCAUGAUCACCUCGUCUUAGGCAUCUGGCUGUCUAUGACUUUAACUGCUGGGUCAACCCAGGGGGGUGAGUAUAUUU